UGGGGAAUUUUGGACAAUGGGCGAAAGCCUGAUCCAGCAAUGCCGCGUGUGUGAAGAAGGCCUUCGGGUUGUAAAGCACUUUUGUCCGGAAAGAAAUCCUUGGCUCUAAUACAGUCGGGGGAUGACGGUACCGGAAGAAUAAGCACCGGCUAACUACGUGCCAGCAGCCGCGGUAAUACGUAGGGUGCAAGCGUUAAUCGGAAUUACUGGGCGUAAAGCGUGCGCAGGCGGUUUGCUAAGACCGAUGUGAAAUCCCCGGGCUCAACCUGGGAACUGCAUUGGUGACUGGCAGGCUAGAGUAUGGCAGAGGGGGGUAGAAUUCCACGUGUAGCAGUGAAAUGCGUAGAGAUGUGGAGGAAUACCGAUGGCGAAGGCAGCCCCCUGGGCCAAUACUGACGCUCAUGCACGAAAGCGUGGGGAGCAAACAGGAUUAGAUACCCUGGUAGUCCACGCCCUAAACGAUGUCAACUAGUUGUUGGUGAUUCAUUUUCCUUAGUAACGUAGCUAACGCGUGAAGUUGACCGCCUGGGGAGUACGGUCGCAAGAUUAAAACUCAAAUGAAUUGACGGGGUCAUAGCUGUUUCCU
rnacentral:rRNA from 1 species